rnacentral:rRNA from 1 species
AGAGUUUGAUCCUGGCUCAGGACGAACGCUGGCGGCGUGCUUAACACAUGCAAGUCGAGCGGAAAGGCCCUUCGGGGUACUCGAGCGGCGAACGGGUGAGUAACACGUGAGUAAUCUGCCCCAGGCUCUGGGAUAGCCACCGGAAACGGUGAUUAAUACCGGAUACGACAACUUCCUGCAUGGGAUGGUUGUGGAAAGUUUUUCGGCCUGGGAUGUGCUCGCGGCCUAUCAGCUUGUUGGUGAGGUAAUGGCUCACCAAGGCUUCGACGGGUAGCCGGCCUGAGAGGGUGACCGGCCACACUGGGACUGAGACACGGCCCAGACUCCUACGGGAGGCAGCAGUGGGGAAUAUUGGACAAUGGGCGGAAGCCUGAUCCAGCAACGCCGCGUGAGGGAUGACGGCCUUCGGGUUGUAAACCUCUUUCAGCACAGACGAAGCGCAAGUGACGGUAUGUGCAGAAGAAGAACCGGCCACCUACGUGCCAGCAGCCGCGGUAAUACGUAGGGUCCGAGCGUUGUCCGAAAUUAUUGGGCGUAAGGGGCUCGUAGGCGGUCUGUCGCGUCGGGAGGGAAAACCAGGUGCUUAACACCUGGCCCUGCUUUCGAUACGGGCAGACUAGAGGUACUCAGGGGAGAUGGAAUUCCUGGUGUAGCGGUGAAAUGCGCAGAUAUCAGGAGGA